UUGCCAGACUCCUACGGGAGGCAGCAGUGGGGAAUAUUGCGCAAUGGGGGAAACCCUGACGCAGCAACGCCGCGUGAGUGAGGAAGUAUCUCGGUAUGUAAAGCUCUAUCAGCGGGGAAGAAAGAGGACGGUACCCGACUAAGAAGCCCCGGCUAACUACGUGCCAGCAGCCGCGGUAAUACGUAGGGGGCGAGCGUUAUCCGGAUUUACUGGGUGUAAAGGGAGCGUAGACGGCGUCGCAAGUCUGAAGUGAAAGCCCGUGGCUCAACCGCGGAACCGCUUUGGAAACUGCGAGGCUGGAGUGCUGGAGAGGUAAGCGGAAUUCCUAGUGUAGCGGUGAAAUGCGUAGAUAUUAGGAGGAACACCAGUGGCGAAGGCGGCCUACUGGACGGUGACUGACGCUGAGGCUCGAAAGCGUGGGGAGCAAACAGGAUUAGAUACCCCUGUA
rnacentral:rRNA from 1 species